AGUCCAUGAGGAGGACACUUAACCAAAAGCUUUUUAAAUCUUUCCCAAGCCUCGUAUAAAGAUUCACCCUCCAACUGCUGAAAAUGCAUAACAUCAUUUCUGAGCUC